CGUCAUAAAGAUAAACAUAAUACGUGGAGAAGAAAGUGUACCAAUAUAGAUAAUUCAUAACCUUUCUGAGAGUGAUGGAGGAGGAGUAUUGAGUCUUCCAUGACCAUGGCAAGUAAAUAUAUUUCUAUCUUUUGAGUACAAACCUGUUUCAAUAAGAUAAAUUCAAAGUGAGAACAAAACUUGAACAUUCUCUGCAAAGUAAGAAAUUGAAAAGAAGAUAGAUAAAGGAGAAAUGAUUGUAAGCGAUUGCAAUCAUACUCAUUUAUAUAAUAAGUUAGAUGAAUUAUGAUGGUUGGAGAGGUUAUGUGUUUUAAGUUUAACACAAAAUUAAUAAUUUUCUAAUUCUUGUUCUGCUUCGGUAGUUAUUAAAUUUGAAAAUAUCAAAUGACGACAAAGCAAUGCGGUAGGUGAUCUUCCUAUAAUUAUUAAUCAAUGUAAAGUCUUCCCACAACACGUGAAAAAUACAUUAUCUUUGUCGGUUCAUCUAAAUAAAUAGAGAAAAAUGGGAGAAAUGAGAAGUUGUUAUCACCACCAUUAUAACAAAAAGGAAAGAAAGAUAGACUAAUAGGCUAUAUUCAAUUUUUUGAGAUACGACUGGAUUUUGUGGCAGAGAUAUAAAGUUCUUCUGGAUUGUCCUUUUCCGGUGAAAGAAGAUGCGAUGUAUAUUGCAAGUGAUUAACUCCUCGAGAUGGAGAGACCAUAAGGAUAGAAAGUUGUCUGUCAAACAGAUUACAUUGCUUUUGAACGCACAAACUGUAUAGCCAUGAUCUAUCAAAACUCAAGCUUCAAAAAGGGAGAAUCUAGAAGUUCAAUGUAGAAGUAAUUUCUUUCACUAAAUUCAUCAAACACUUGAGGCACAAAAAGUAUUACCUAAAAAUGUAACAAAACCCAAUUAAAUCUAACUUAGGUUUCAAGUAGCAGCACCCGCAUGCCCCAUAUUAAACCCAGUUCUAUUAGAAGUGUUCUUCUACCAAGAAGAGGCAAAAAGAAAAAGCAAGAAAACCAAAUGAAAAAAAAAAUUUAAAUCAAAUUUAACUGAAGAUUUAACCAAUCGUUUAGACCACAAAUUAAAGCAGAAGUAUUAUAUUGAUACAGGUUGCAUAUGAAGACAAAAAUGCAGAACAACAGAAGAGAAAAUCCAAAAUAAAUAACAACAAUAACAACGGAUAAUAGCAGACAAAAAAAUAAAAUAAAAUAGAAGAAAAAUUGAAAAAAAAAAUAGCUGACACACUAACCUGAACCUUGUAACACCCAAAGUAGAAGACCCAUAAAUGUAGAUACUUCAAGCAAGAAACUGAUAAAAUAGGAAGAAAUCCCUUAAAAAAAGUAAUGAACAGAAGAUUGAAAGAGAGGAGGAUGAACUGAAAAAGUGAAAGAAGAUUUAAGAAAAAAUUGUGGUAAAAUCCCAAGCCGAGAAGAUGAAGGGAAAGUGAGAGAGUUAGGAAAGGAGAUGAAAGUGUGGACGGUUCUAGAAUUAUGUGGUAGUGUAUGAAAAAUAAAAUGACAAUUCUAUCCUUGGUCGACCAAUCAUGGCUUUUCUAUAUAAUAGACUAGAUGAGCCUUGCCCGUGCAUAGCACGGGCCCAACAUUUAGAAUGCUAAUAUAGUUUAAGGAUUGUUUCUAAUCUUUAGAGAAUCUAUUAUUUAAACCUUAAAUAGGAACACAUACCUUAGAACAACCAUAAUUUCAAAAAUACAAAAGCACAAAUUCCAUCUUUAGUAAAUAGUAACAAAUAUAAAAGACUACAUACUACUUGAAACACAUAUAUUCAGAACGCGCAUUCAAGAACAAUGAAUCUCGUCCCUCAUUGAAAUUACAUCCACGAAAUAAUCAUACAAAAUGACGGUCAAAAGACACUACUUGUUUAUGACUUGGUUGCUAAAAUAUUUUCUGCUAGUAGUAGCUACAAUAACUGCAUGACUAAGAUACCAUAAAUAAGAACAUAUAAAUAGGUGAUUCAACUCCCUCAUACAUCUUUGUCCAAAUUCUAUGCUUUGAUUGUUACUUGGUCUUUAUAAAUGCCUUGCUUGAACUGGUUGAGCCGGGUAAGAAUGUCAUAACUUUAGGAGAUUUUUAAAAAUCUAUAGUACGAUAAAAACACCAGAAGCCUCCUCUAAAGCAAUAACUUCUUUAUUAGCCGUUUAAUUUAAAGUUCAUUACUUAAGAAAAACUGACAAAGAAGUAAUGCAUUAAUCAUCCAUCAGCGAAAUGGUAUAAUAAAGAUAAAAUUAAACCCCUAAAUAAAUUAAAUUUCUUAUAAUCAAGACACUGGACAUGCACAAAUGUAAUAAUAAAAAAACACAUCAUUACAACAUAACACAUCAAGGUUUUGAUUGAAAUAAAACUAAUUUGAAAUUAGUAAUUAAAUAAAUAACUUGCAAAAAAAGAAAAAUAAAGACAACAUACAUUAUAAAAGAACUCUUUCUACUAGCAUGUUAGAAUCAAUUGAAGCAUGUGGAUAACUACAAACUUAUAAUGAAAUAAAUAAAACUAAACACAAUAUAGGCACACUCAACACUGAUUGCUUCAAGAAAGAUAAACAUAAAUAUAUAGGUAACAGUCUGUUGAGAGAUCGAAUGAAUUAAAAGAGGUAUCAAGAUAUAUAGUUCAUUGCCAUUACCAAUUUAAGUGAUGGAGGAGAGGCUUUAGUCAUCUGCAACCAUGGCAAGAAAAUUUUGGGUAGUUUAACCUGCAAAAAAAAAAAUAUCAAAAGUAGUCACACAGCAACACGUUCAUAGUACAUUAUAUAUGUUAAAAGAUAGAAUAUAUAUAUAUGAAUGUAAUUGCACAUUCUAUUUACAAAUACAUAUCCUAUCAUCCUCGAGUGUUUCAUGUAUUGAACUAAAAGUAGAACAAACCAAACUAUCAAGCACUAACUAAGUGGCCAAGUGAAUUAAUCUCUACCAAAUAUGUAAAGAUGGUAAAUCAAUCCACCAUUUGUACUUUCAGAUAAAACAUGUAUAUGAAAUACAAACAUAAAGUAUAUUCCAAGAAAAUUAUAUGAAAAACUGUUAGGUGAAGAACAAUAAGAAAGAAUAGGAAAAGAUAGCAUGUGCUGAUUCAAUAUCUAGCUACAUGGAACUCUAUUUCACGACAUGAAUAUAUAGGUAAUAACACCAACAUUGAUGUUCCUAAAACGGCAUCCAUGCCAAUCAUAUGUUAAAAUGACAAUAAUACAUGAAUAACCAUAUUCUUGAUGAAUAGCUUAUGAGCUAUAAACCAUAUUAACAUUUGGGCAUAAUUUUUUAUUCUUUAGCAAAUUGGAGUAAAUUGAUAACAAAAUAAAGGUGACCAAUCUAAUCAAGACAAGAACCUGGCCUGAAUUGAACCUUCAUCACUUGGAAUGAAAGUGAAUGCUCCAUUCACACUCUGUGAAGUACAGAGUUGUGAAUAUAGUUCAUAGAACUAUUCCAAACUAAGUAAUGGACAAGUUUAAUUGCCAUUGAUAGACGAAUAUCUAAAGAGCUUUAAAAUUGGCCAAAAAAGUUAAGAUCAAUCAAAUAUAGCAAUACAAUAUACUUGACUGAUUAUUAGUAGAUUAUUAGUAAAAAAGAAAAGGAGAUCAUUAUCAAAAAGGCCAUUGGCAUCUUUCUAAUUUUCUUCUUUUGGUGGAUGGGAGGAGAAAUUACCAAUAAAAGUGAAGCUUAACUUUUGCUUCAAAGAAUCAAAGAGCAGUCUCAAUAAGUAAAAAAUGGUGACAAAAAUAUCUUUCCCAAAAUGAACACUUCUCGCAUGAACUUAUGAGUUCAUGAAAAAUAUUUAAUUAUUGAAAUUUUACAUAGUAGAAGUUUUAUAAAGUUCAUUAUGGAGAUUUGUUGUUAAUAUUAAGAGGCUAUUUGUGUCACCGCUCCUUUCCUUUUUCUCAAAUAGAUACUUGAGCAUCUUUAAAGUUUCUGCAAAGGGAGAAAUAGAAAAGAAUACGAAAGGAGAAAAAUAUCAAAUGAUUGUUUUUGUACUUGUCUCUAAAAUAAGGCAGUUGAAUAAUGACGAUCAGAGAGGAUAUGUUUUUAAGUUCAACACAUUUAACACAAUUCGAAUUCUUUUUUUUUGUUUUCAGUAGUCAUUAGUCUUGUAAAACACAUAAUAGGGUAAAAUAGUAGAACUAUUAAUUUUCAAAAGAAGUGAAUUUUCAGCCAAAUAAAACUUUUAUAAUUUAAUAGGCAUUAUAUGAGCAGUAAAAGGAAAAGUUCUUUAUCCAGAAUUACUCAUGUUUAUGCAAAGAUUUUAAUAUUCAGCUAAGUUUUUUCGCUAUCAAUCACAUGAUCUUACCGAAAAAAUAUGGAGAAGCAAUUACCUGAUGUGAGCAUAUUUCUCUAUCAAGGGAUAAAUCACAUUAUUCGGCUAGCAAUGCUCUGUUAAAUUUAACAUAUUUAUAAGAAAUCAGUUAAAUAAGUGACUCAUUUAAAUUACAAUAAAAAAUACUCUAUUUACUAUAACUUAAAUGCUUCCACCACCCAGAGAAAUAAAAUACAAUGCAAAUCAACAUAGGAUUAUAUAGAUAAUAGAUUGCAAAAUAUCUUUCAGAACUCCACAUAAUUAAUCAAGUGGACCUUCCUAUUAUGUACAGUAUUAUCUUAUACAUAACCAAAGAUACAUUAGUUAACCCAACACAUGUUCUAUCGCUGGAAACCAAAAAGGGAACCAGAAGAUAUCGUUUAGUUUAGUAAUUGUCUAUAAUUUUUAAAACACAUAUUCAUUAAUUAAAAACCAUUAGAUGAUCGAAAUUCUCUCGUGGAUCAGUGACCGAUGAUCUAAUUCUAUUAAUAAAGUGUAUUAUUCUAAAAGAAUGUAUUUAGAACAAUAUUUAGAAAGCAACGACAUGAUCUUCACUACAAAGCUAAUCCAUCGGAAUUCGGUAAAGGAAAAUUGGAACCAAAAUUCAAUAAUUUUCUAAUUGUUUUUUAUCCCUAGGUUUCCUCAAAAACAAAUAAAAAAAGGGAGCAGGACACACGCAUCCCCUGAAUAAGCAGAAGCGUAAAAAAAAUAUACAAAGAAAAAAAAUAUAAUAUCCCUGACUAUGAGAUCUCAUCUCUGCACAAAAUUAAUAUGAAUAAUUUUAUCCCUAAGAAUUGAGAGAAAAUAUAGGAUCUAUACAAUUUAACUGUCUCGAAUUUGUGCAUUGUGUCACAUUUAUGAUCAUAUUGAGAAAAUUAGAGCAAAACAACCCCAAUUAUCUCCCAUAAAGUGGUCAUGACAAAGACAGUGAAGAAGCAUGUGAACUAAAAACGAAAAAUACUCUAGAAAAUAUAUUACCUCUCUAUAAUCAAUCAUAAUGCUUGUUCUACUUGUUCCGAGAGAUUCAACCUUUAAGAGCAGCAAAUAUAUGGUAAAAGACCACAAUUAUCGUCGGCAAAUAACUCCAAGUUUUGCCCUAAACUCGUAUACCUCACACAAACUCUCUAAUUACAAAAAGCAAAUCGGAUAGGAAAAUAAAGCCCUAAUAGAAAUUAAUAAAAAAAAGAACAAGAUUUGGGCAAAGAUUGAGAGAAGAACAGACCUGAAAGUUGCAACACCCAACUGCGAAGAUGAAGAGAAAUGAAAAAAUAUAUUAUUUGAGAGGACAAAUUGAGAACCAGAGAAAACCAACAAUUCUUGUUGUGGCUUGGAAGAAUCUGCAUUUAGAAUUGUGUUGAGUUGUUAGUUGAAAUUAUAAUUUUACCCUUGAGCUCAAAUUACAGUUAUGCCAUUAGUCGACCACACUUGGCUUUUCUAUAUAAUAGAAAAAUAUAGCAUUAAACUGUCUUUUCCAAACAGCAUCACAUUUUUCCUGAUUCCAGGAGAAACCGCUAGUGCCUUUGAGAAGCAGCUUCAUAAUUGUAUAACCAGGUGACUUUGACAACAGAAACGAAAUUCUUUUACAUCUCUAAACAGAAUUAUAAUUUAAGAGUAUACAUUUACCAUGAAAACGGCAAAACAGAACCCUGCAUUUAGUAAUUGUUGUGAUUUGGAGUGCUUAUGCAUUCAGCGGCAUACAAAAAUUG
rnacentral:lncRNA from 1 species